AGAGUUUGAUCAUGGCUCAGAUUGAACGCUGGCGGCAUGCCUUACACAUGCAAGUCGAACGGCAGCACGGGAGCAAUCCUGGUGGCGAGUGGCGAACGGGUGAGUAAUAUAUCGGAACGUGCCCAGUCGUGGGGGAUAACGUAGCGAAAGCUACGCUAAUACCGCAUACGAUCUACGGAUGAAAGCGGGGGACCUGUAAGGGCCUCGCGCGAUUGGAGCGGCCGAUAUCAGAUUAGGUUGUUGGUGAGGUAAAAGCUCACCAAGCCUGCGAUCUGUAGCUGGUCUGAGAGGACGACCAGCCACACUGGAACUGAGACACGGUCCAGACUCCUACGGGAGGCAGCAGUGGGGAAUUUUGGACAAUGGACGCAAGUCUGAUCCAGCAAUGCCGCGUGCAGGACGAAGGCCUUCGGGUUGUAAACUGCUUUUGUACGGAACGAAACGGUCUGCUUUAAUACAGUGGGCUAAUGACGGUACCGUAAGAAUAAGCACCGGCUAACUACGUGCCAGCAGCCGCGGUAAUACGUAGGGUGCGAGCGUUAAUCGGAAUUACUGGGCGUAAAGCGUGCGCAGGCGGUUAUAUAAGACAGAUGUGAAAUCCCCGGGCUCAACCUGGGACCUGCAUUUGUGACUGUAUAGCUAGAGUACGGUAGAGGGGGAUGGAAUUCCGCGUGUAGCAGUGAAAUGCGUAGAUAUGCGGAGGAACACCGAUGGCGAAGGCAAUCCCCUGGACCUGUACUGACGCUCAUGCACGAAAGCGUGGGGAGCAAACAGGAUUAGAUACCCUGGUAGUCCACGCCCUAAACGAUGUCAACUGGUUGUUGGGUCUUCACUGACUCAGUAACCGAAGCUAAACGCGUAAGUNCCCGCCUGG
rnacentral:rRNA from 1 species